rnacentral:rRNA from 1 species
UACGUAGGGGGCGAGCGUUAUCCGGAUUUACUGGGCAUAAAGAGGACGUAGGCGGCUCUUCAAGUCGGAUGUAAAAUCUCCCGGCUCAACUGGGAGGGACCAUCCGAUACUGCUGGGCUAGAGGGCAGCAGAGGAAAGCGGAAUUCCCGGUGUAGUGGUGAAAUGCGUAGAUAUCGGGAGGAACACCAGUGGCGAAGGCGGCUUUCUGGGCUGUUUCUGACGCUGAGGUCCGAAAGCGUGGGUAGCAAACAGGAUUAGAUACCCCCGUA